UACGUAGGGGGCAAGCGUUGUCCGGAUUUAUUGGGCGUAAAGAGCGUGUAGGCGGCCUGAAAGGUCAGCUGUGAAAACUCGAGGCUCAACCUCGAGACGUCGGUUGAAACCAUCUGGCUAGAGUCCGGAAGAGGAGUGUGGAAUUCCCGGUGUAGCGGUGAAAUUCGUAGAUAUCGAGAGGAACACCGGUGGCGAAGGCGGCCAACUGGACGAGUACUGACGCUGAGACACGAAAGCGUGGGGAGCAAACAGG
rnacentral:rRNA from 1 species